AGUGAACGCUGGCGGUAGGCCUAACACAUGCAAGUCGAACGGCAGCACAGUAAGAGCUUGCUCUUACGGGUGGCGAGUGGCGGACGGGUGAGGAAUACAUCGGAAUCUACUUUUUCGUGGGGGAUAACGUAGGGAAACUUACGCUAAUACCGCAUACGACCUACGGGUGAAAGCAGGGGAUCUUCGGACCUUGCGCGAUUGAAUGAGCCGAUGUCGGAUUAGCUAGUUGGCGGGGUAAAGGCCCACCAAGGCGACGAUCCGUAGCUGGUCUGAGAGGAUGAUCAGCCACACUGGAGCUUAGACACGGUCCAGACUACUACGGGAGGCAGCAGUGGGGAAUAUUGGACAAUGGGCGCAAGCCUGAUCCAGCCAUACCGCGUGGGUGAAGAAGGCCUUCGGGUUGUAAAGCCCUUUUGUUGGGAAAGAAAAGCAGCAGGUUAAUACCCCGCUGUUCUGACGGUACCCAAAGAAUAAGCACCGGCUAACUUCGUG
rnacentral:rRNA from 1 species